CUUUCUAAUAAAAAUGUAUGUCCUGAUUCAAUUAAUUUUCUUUUUAGAGAUUCUUGCCUUCAGAGUUUGGAAACGAUGGGGAACGUCACCAUGCUGUGGAGCCAGCAAAAACUGUAUAUGAUACCAAGACCAAGAUCCGCCGCCUUGUUGAGGCUGAGGGAAUCCCUUAUACACAUGUGGUUUCUAACGCUUGUUCAGGUUACCACCUUUCGAAUUUGUCACAGCCUGGGGCUACAGCUCCCCCAAGAGAUAAAGUUGUCAUCUUAGGGGAUGGAAAUGCAAAAGGUAAGAAGCAGUGUGUCGAAAUGCGCAUUUUAAUUAGUUCAGAUAUUUCUGGAGGUUGAUCACGAUUUAAUUACGGUAGUGAUCAGUGUGAGGGGCAGCUCUUGAAGCUUGAGAAUUCCAGGGCAACGUCCUUGUCUGGAGAUGUUGGGACUCUUACAUCCAUUAGUCUUCACCUUCAGAGACUAAUAGAUUAUAUGAGUGUGUCGUGGUUUAUCUUGGCAUAAUAUCACCUAGUGGGCAGAUCGUGAAUGUUCUCUUUAUGUAUUUGGUGGAGGAAAGAACAUACGGAUGCAUCUGUCUGUUGGUUGUCUGAUGAAUCUGUUUACCGAGAGAAUUCUUCUUCAAUUCAAGCCGAAAGUAACACUAGGAAGAUCAGUGACUCUGUGAUUUAUUUAUGAGCUCAUGUCUUUCUGGGAGAGAGAGAUCGGCAAGGCUCUAGAGAGGGCGUAUGUUCCAGAGGAGGAGGUUCUAAAGAAUAUUCAAGGUUAGGGCUGCAUUUCUAUUGGAUUUAAGUGUGUAAAUUGUCUCUGUUCUCUCUAAAGAUUUAAAGCUUGUCCAGUCAUUACAGAGGCGGCGUUUCCGCAGAAUGUGAUAUUGGCAGUACUCCAUUCUGUUUUCGUGAAAGGAGACCAAGCCAACUUCGAGAUUAAGCCAUCAUUCGGAGUGGAAGCUUUGGAGCUCUACCCCAAUGUCAAGUACACGACUGUGGAUUAGUAUAUGGAUCAGUUUAUUUGAUUAUCGAACCCGAUUGUGCUUGUUAAAUUUCUCAUAUCGGCUUAAAUCAUAAAUAAUAUAGGAUGCUGCUUCUUAGGAUCCUAGUGUGAAAUGUCGCAUGCCCUGAUCAUCACAUGGCAUGUACAACCCCAAAGUUCGAGGACAUCCUAUGAAGUGCUUGGAGAAAUUUAUUUAUGUUUUGGAGAUUAAUAUUAGGUUCAUGGCCAAGCCGAGCUAGCACAAAGACAUGGAUUUUUCUAUUUUUCUAUAUUGUAUUUUCUUGCACGUCUAAAUGAUUCAAGACGACCACUAUCGAGAAGUCAGAUACUAGAUGUAUUACCAAAAAUGAAAUCUCCGUCAUGACCUAAUUAUGGAUAAUCUUAAAGAAUGACGAGUUAAAACAAACGUAAAUCGAUUAACGAACUUCUCACAAUAUCGAGUUAUCGUUAAUGUUUUGGGAGCUUUUAUUGUAUGAAUUUUCUUAACGUGAAAUACAUUAAUUGAUAUUGUAAGAAAUUUCUGUUGAUCGGACCCUCCUUGCCUAUAAAUAGGCGGGUUGCGAUCUCUGUUGAGGACGAGCGAGCAAGCUUGGAGAACUUCCCUGGAGAGACUUCAGGGGAGGCUCAAAGAGUAAGCAAGCAAGAGAGGCGUCGCGAGCUCAAACGACCUCCCCCAAGAGAGGUCAGGGGAGGUCGGCGGCGAGCGAACCCGAGAGAGAGGGGCUUCACGGUGAGAGAGAUCGUGAGCAAAACCCAGAUCUGUGGGUUGUGGGUGGAAGGGGGUAGACUGCCGUCGACGGUUGCGCCUGCAUCGUGACCAGCAACCCCACCGCUACGCCUCCUUGGCCGGUGAACUACGGUCUUCUUUUUUUGCGUUCUGGGCAAGCCAGGCCGGAGCUUGCGACCGCUUGGUUGCGAGCUUCGGCCGCGUUUAUUCCCUUUUUUUGGGCUGCUGUUGUGUUUGUUCGGCCAAAGCUACGGUUUAGCUCCAACCUCGUUCGGGCCGUGAGUCUCUCAACUCUAUAGCACACACCAUCCGUUCGACGAAAUGCCAAAGCUAGAUCCGGAACCUUGCGCUGAGGAAGUCCGUUCCAGAGCUUCAAUCACCGUCCGGAUGAGAGAGGAAAGACGUUGGGGAGACCUCCAGUCGAACGCUUUCCGCCGGCCAUGUCUAGCCAAGGCGGAUCUUUGCUGGCGACAAUAGCCAGCCAAGCUGGUUCUCAGCCGGCGACGGUGGUCAGCUGGGCUCGCCCUCGGUUGGCGCCAUGGCCGAUCGAAAGCUCGUCUCCGAUCUGGGCUGGCUGAGGUGUCACCGGACUGAGGGGUGUGGCCAGCCCACCGUGAGCGGCGUCCCCCAUUGGCGCCGUCUUCUUCCCUGCGGACAAGCUGCAGUGAAGGGGGGAUGAAUCGGGUGAGCCUGCGGAUCGGGCUAACGCAGUUCAUUUGAUUCUUCGGGUAGGGUUUCGUCAGCAUGGGCCUAUCGCGGCAGGCCGUCUGAUUUUCAAGCUUCAGUUGGGCCAUCUUUUUACAAAUCAAAAUCUGCUGGGUUGGGCUAAAAAUUAAAAUGUUGGGUUUGAAUUUCUUUGCGGGCCUGGCCCGCGCCUCAGGCUCGUUCCGAGCAGCCCCUGGUUUCUACGAUUGUGUCGUUUUUAUAUUAUUAUAAUUAUAAUAAUAUUUUAAUAAAAUCAAAAUAAAUAAAUUAUUUAUUCAAAGAGUCAGAAAAACCCAAAAAUAUUUUAUGUUUUCCCAAAAAAAUCAUGAACAAGCGAAAAAUAAUUUAUAUUUUCAAAAAAGGGUAAAAAAUAAAAAUAAAAAUGCUUUUAUGUUAAAGUGUGUUUUUCCUCCACAAAUGCAUAGAAAAUCCCUUGAAAUUCCAAAAAGCUUUAGGGUUCAGAUAAGAUUAGGUACCGGAAGGACAGUAGUGAUUAACUAGUGUAAUUAAGUUCCCGAUCUUAGUUUUCCUGGUUGCACAGAAGCGAAUAUUUCUCCCAAUAUUUCGCUUGGGUUUCUAACUCAACCCACCUCAAAUUGAUUAGUGGCGACUCAUUUUAAAAUUAACUUAUAGUUUUAAAAAAUAUUAAACCAUUAAGUCCUGAAUUGGUGAGCUUGGGAGAGCCCAAGCUAAGCCUAAUAGAUAUAGCCGAGCCAUAAGCCUAUGUAGGCACUCGCCCUAAUCGGGCACUGAAAAUAGAGAUUGUGACAAGGAACAUGCCCUAGUUUUUGUUGCUUUCUAAUAAAAAUGUUUCUUCUAAUUCAAAUAAUUUUCUUCUUAGAGAUUCUUGCCUUCAGAGUUUGGAAAUGACGUGGAUCGUGUCCAUGCUAUGGAGCCAGCAAAAAAUGCAUUUGCUAUCAAGGCCAAGAUUUGCCAUCUUAUUGAGGCUGCGAGAAUCCCUUAUACGUAUGUAUCUUCUAACUUGUUUGCAGGUUACUUCCUCCUAACAUUGUCACAACCUGGGGCUACAGCUCCCCCUAGAGAUAAAGUUGUUAUCUUAGGGGAUGGAAAUGUAAAAG
rnacentral:lncRNA from 1 species